UGGAAGCGCAAGUUCUGUAGUGGCGCAAGUUUGGCUUGAUGAAGUUAACUAGGGUUAGUUAGUGACAAGCCUAUAAAUACCCAUGGAUUUUGUUAUCAUUUGUAACACUCUCCACCACCUUUAUGGUGGAAUGGCUUUGUGCCUUGCACACUACUACACACAAAUAAACUCUAGCUUAGUUUUGUAUUAUAUAUAUAUUUAGAAGCUAGGGUUUGUGAGUGUAAGUAGUAGUAGCCAUUGUAGCCAACCUUCGGGUUUGGAUUUAUAGCACCCUUCGAGGUAUUUAUCAAUAUACAGAUAUACCUUGGAAAAUAUUGUGUGUUGGUUUAAUAUUUUCAUAUCCUCAGAAACCGACCCAAUAAAUAUCCGGAACACGAAACCCAUUACAGGACUGCAAUUUAUUUAUCCGCAAGAUUCGAAAGAAUUUUAAAUUGUAGUGAGUAUCGUAUUCAACCCCCCCUUCUACGAUACUUUGGACCUAACAAUUGGUAUCAGAGCCAGGCUGAUUGAUAUACAAAUCAGGAUCCUUAUCGUACGGAAAAUCAAGAACCUAGCUUUUGAUAUUUGAUUAGGGGAAAUGUUCUUCCGGUUUGUGUUGCUGAAUUUGUCCGUAG
rnacentral:lncRNA from 1 species